rnacentral:tRNA from 1 species
ACCUGGGUGGCUCAGUCGGUUGAGCAUCUGACUCUUGAUUUUGGCUCAGGUCAUGAUCUCACCGUUUGUGGGUUCAAGUCCCAUGUCGGGCU